UACAGAGGGUGCGAGCGUUGUUCGGAAUUACUGGGCGUAAAGGGCGCGUAGGCGGCCAGACCAAGUCGAGUGUUAAAUUCCAGAGCUUAACUCUGGACGGUCGCUCGAUACUGGUCGGCUAGAGUGUGGAAGAGGGUGCUGGAAUUCCCGGUGUAGCGGUGAAAUGCGUAGAUAUCUGCAGGAACACCCGUGGCGAAAGCGGCGCGCUGGACCGCAACUGACGCUGAGACACGAAAGCGUGGGUAGCAAACAGG
rnacentral:rRNA from 1 species